UUUGUACUCCCUCCGUCCAAAAAUACUUGUCGGAGAAAUGCAUAAAAUUGAUGUAUCUAGAAUUAAAAUACGUCUAGAUACAUCCAUUCCUCCGACAAGUAUUUCCUGACGGAGGGAGUAGUUC
rnacentral:pre_miRNA from 1 species